rnacentral:pre_miRNA from 1 species
AAUUUCAGCUGAAAAAGUCAUGAACAUAAAAGUUGUAGAACUCAUCAAGACAUACAACUUUUAUUUUGGUCAUUUCUUCAUCCGAUAAAAUGAUAGUAAUAUUGUUCACAAAAUUUACAUCUCUCUUAUAGUUUAUAAAACCAAAUGAGAGAUAUGUAAAUUUUAUAAACAAUGUUACUAUCACUUUGUCGGAUGAAGAAAUAAUAAAAAUAAAAGUUAUAGAUCUUGAUGAGUUAUACAAUUUGUUGUUAAUGUCUUUUUCAAGUUGAAAUC